rnacentral:misc_RNA from 1 species
AACACGUAGUCAACACUCGGGGAUCCAAGUGCGUCCUCCUUGGGGGACGCCCUUUCUCCCCAAAGUCGGGGCGGCUCGGCGCUCGUUGCCCGCAGGCGGUGCGACCGUCGCGAGCUCACGAUCUCCGGGCCUUCCCGGCGCAACAAAAACCCGGCGCGGAAUGCGCCAAGGAACAUGAAAGAGAGUGCGGUCUUCCGGCGUCAGCUCGCGCUGCGCUCGGACGGGCGUCGUCUUCUUGAUGAGUUUAUAAUGACUCUCGGCAACGGAUAUCUCGGCUCUUACAUCGAUGAAGAACGUAGCAAAAUGCGAUACUUGGUGUGAAUUGCAGAAUCCCGUGAACCAUCGAGUCUUUGAACGCAAGUUGCGCCCGAAUCCAUCUGGUUGAGGGCACGUCUGCCUGGGUGUCACGUACACGCGCCUCCCGCGAACCUUUCCCCUUUUUCCGGACGAAGGGUCUCGCUGGAGCAGAUGUUGGUAUCCCGUGCCCGUUCCGCGCGGCUUGCCUAAAAACGGAGAUCCGGCGAYGAAACGUCGCGCCUAGUGGUGGUUGAUGAGGCCUARCGGCCGAACCAGUUCGCGGCGCGAUCGUUUGUCGCACGGAAGUCUCGGACGACACCUCGGACGCCCCCUAACGGGCGUGCUACUGUCGCGACCCCAGGUCAGGCGGGACUACCCGCUGAA